rnacentral:rRNA from 1 species
UACGUAGGGGGCAAGCGUUGUCCGGAUUUAUUGGGCGUAAAGAGCGUGUAGGCGGCCAUACAGGUCCGUUGUGAAAACUGGAGGCUUAACCUCCAGACGUCGAUGGAAACCGUAUGGCUAGAGUCCGGAAGAGGAGAGUGGAAUUCCUGGUGUAGCGGUGAAAUGCGCAGAUAUCAGGAAGAACACCUGUGGCGAAGGCGGCUCUCUGGGACGGUACUGACGCUGAGACGCGAAAGCGUGGGGAGCGAACAGG